AUUGAACGCUGGCGGCAGGCUUAACACAUGCAAGUCGAACGAGUGGCGGACGGGUGAGUAAUGCUUGGGAAUCUAGCUUACGGCGGGGGAUAACUACGGGAAACUGUAGCUAAUACCGCGUACCAUAGGAUGAGCCCAAGUGGGAUUAGGUAGUUGGUGAGGUAAAUGCUCACCAAGCCGACGAUCUCUCGCUGGUCUGAGAGGAGGAGAAGCCACACUGGGACGGGGACACGGCCCAGACUCCUACGGGAGGCAGCAGUGGGGAAUAUUCGGCAAUGGGCGCAAGCAUGAUGCAGCCAUGCCGCGUGUAUGAAGAAGGUCUUAGGGUUGGAAAGUUCUUUUAGCGGGGAGGCGUUACCCACACAAGAAGCACCGGCUAACUCCGUGCCAGCAGCCGCGGUAAUAC
rnacentral:rRNA from 1 species